rnacentral:rRNA from 1 species
AGAGUUUGAUCCUGGCUCAGAACGAACGUUGGCGGCGUGGAUUAGGCAUGCAAGUCGAACGAAUCCCGGAGGGCUUGCUCUCCGGGGGAAGUGGCGAAAGGGGCAGUAAGGCAUGGGUAACCUGCCCCGGGGACCGGCAUAGCCCUCCUAACGGAGGGGUAAUUCCGGGUACGCUCGUCGGAGGGCAUCCUUUGACGAGGAGAAGAGUUUCGCCCCGGGAUAGGCUCAUGUGGUAUUAGCUUGUUGGCGGGGUAACGGCCCACCAAGGCCAAGAUGCCUAGCAGGUGUGAGAGCACGACCUGCGCCACUGGCACUGAGACACUGGCCAGACUCCUACGGGAGGCUGCAGUCGAGGAUCUUCGGCAAUGGGCGCAAGCCUGACCGAGCGACGCCGCGUGUGCGAUGAAGGCCUUCGGGUUGUAAAGCACUGUCGAGGGGGAGGAAAGCCGCAAGGUCUGACCUAUCCCUGGAGGAAGCACGGGCUAAGUUCGUGCCAGCAGCCGCGGUAAGACGAACCGUGCGAACGUUGUUCGGAAUCACUGGGCUUAAAGGGCGCGUAGGCGGCUCAGCCAGUCUCAGGUGAAAUCUUUCGGCUCAACCGGAAAAGUGCCUGAGAUACUGCUGGGCUCGAGCGAGGUAGGGGCAGGGGGAACUUCCGGUGGAGCGGUGAAAUGCGUUGAUAUCGGAAGGAACGCCGGUGGCGAAAGCGCCCUGCUGGACCUCACCUGACGCUGAGGCGCGAAAGCCAGGGGAGCAAACGGGAUUAGAUACCCCCGUAGUCC